rnacentral:rRNA from 1 species
AUUGAACGCUGGCGGCAUGCUUUACACAUGCAAGUCGAACGGUAACAGGCCGCAGGGUGCUGACGAGUGGCGAACGGGUGAGUAAUGCAUCGGAACGUGCCCAGUCGUGGGGGAUAACGCAGCGAAAGCUGUGCUAAUACCGCAUACGAUCUAUGGAUGAAAGCGGGGGACCGUAAGGCCUCGCGCGAUUGGAGCGGCCGAUGUCAGAUUAGGUAGUUGGUGGGGGAAAGGCUCACCAAGCCAACGAUCUGUAGCUGGUCUGAGAGGACGACCAGCAACACUGGGACUGAGACACGGCCCAGACUCCUACGGGAGGCAGCAGUGGGGAAUUUUGGACAAUGGGCGCAAGCCUGAUCCAGCAAUGCCGCGUGCAGGAAGAAGGCCUUCGGGUUGUAAACUGCUUUUGUACGGAACGAAACGGUCUGGGUUAAUACCCUGGGCUAAUGACGGUACCGUAAGAAUAAGCACCGGCUAACUACGUGCCAGCCGCCGCCGUAAGAC